AACGAACGCUGGCGGCAUGCCUAACACAUGCAAGUCGAACGAGACCUUCGGGUCUAGUGGCGCACGGGUGCGUAACGCGUGGGAACCUGCCCUUAGGUUCGGAAUAACUCCCCGAAAGGGGUGCUAAUACCGGAUAAUGUCUUCGGACCAAAGAUUUAUCGCCUUUGGAUGGGCCCGCGUUGGAUUAGCUAGUUGGUAGGGUAAAAGCCUACCAAGGCGACGAUCCAUAGCUGGUCUGAGAGGAUGAUCAGCCACACUGGGACUGAGACACGGCCCAGACUCCUACGGGAGGCAGCAGUGGGGAAUAUUGGACAAUGGGCGAAAGCCUGAUCCAGCAAUGCCGCGUGAGUGAUGAAGGCCUUAGGGUUGUAAAGCUCUUUUACCCGGGAUGUUAAUGACAGCACCGGGAGAAUAAGCUCCGGCUAACUCCGUG
rnacentral:rRNA from 1 species